GGACACUAAGUUAACAACUAUCCAUAUGGAAAAAACACCUUCACGAGAACCAAAAAUCAGGAUAUUCUAUCACUCUAACUGAUGGAAGUUCUUCAAGGAAGCUUUUCUCACAACUUACCUUUUUCUUCUAGCAAAGGGACCAUUUGGUCAUAACAAAGACAUUCCUGGGGAAGGAGUGAGAAGCAGAGCACAAUCGUCAAGUCUCUUUCUUUCAACCUGCUGAUAAACCACACUGCUGUUCCAACUCCUGCAAAUCCAGCUUUGCCAAGAACUUUGUGUGCUUUCCACAGCAGGUGGUCUUUCUUAAGUCAUUUUCCAGAGGAGAAGCCAGCUGCCCUCUCUUGACAUAGCCAUGUGAAGAUGCUCAAGUACUGAAGAUCCUAAGCCUGCCAACAAACAUGUGAGUAGGUUCAGAAAUAAAUCACCUUUUCUACACUCUUCCAUUGGAGACUUCAGUAAGACCACAGCUUCAGGUAACUGGUUGACUAUAAUUUCAUGAAACAUCUUAAGCCAUAGGCACUCAAAUAAGCAUCACCCACAUUCUUGGCCUAUGAAAUAGUAAAUGUUUGUUGUUUUAAACUAUUAAAUGUCAAAGUAAUUUGUUAUGCUGUAAGAGACAACUAAUAUAACUUUAUUCACCAUUGUCUCAUAGGUCCUAAAAUGUGAAGUAAGAUAAGAAAAGAUGCCAUCAUUGAGCAUAUAAAACAUGAGUACAUUUAUUACAGUUGCAGGUUACAAGUUAAACACACAAAGAUCACUCACAUUAUAUUAAAUAGAUAUGGCUAUAAAUAUAUAUUAGCAAUAAACAAUUCAAAAGUAAAAUUUAAAACUGAUCAAAAAGCACUCAUGAUAAAGGAAGAUGAAGCACUGAUUGAUAAAAAUUGAAAUAAUUUUUUUAUCAUCAUAAAAAUUAAGAAGUUUUGUUUACCAAAAUACAUUGUUAAAUGAGUGAAAGGCUGGCCAGUGACUAAAAGAAUAUAUUUUAAUCCAAAUUCUGCAUACAAGAAAUUUAUGCAAAAUAUAUAAAGAACACAUACAAACUGAAAGCCAACAGAUAGUUCCCCCAUUUAAAAAUAGCCUAAAGUCUUGAAUAAGCACUUCCCAGCAAAGGACAUUGAAAUAGCAAAUAAAUGCAUGAAAAUUGCUUAACAUUAUUAGUCAUCAGAGAAUUGCAAAUCAAAACUCCAAUGAGAUACCAUACAUAACAACAAAAUGACUACAAUUAAAAAAAAAUAAAAUGUUGCAAUACAAAACGAUGGUGACAGUAUGAACAGCUGGAACUCUCAGCUACUCCUGGUGAGAAUGUCAAUGUAUACAGCCACUUUAGGAAACUGUUGGCAGUAUCCUUCAAAGUUGUGCGUAUACCUACUUUUUCAUCUAGCAACUCCACUUUUACAUGUAUACUCCAAAGAAAAACUCAGAUAUGUACAUCAAUUGACAUGUAAAAGAAUUUUAAUAACUGCAUUAUAAAUAAGUGCCACAAACUGGAAGCAAACUGAGAGCAAUCAGUAGUAGAAUGGAUAAAUUAUGAUAUGUUCACGCAAUUGCAUACGAUCCACCAAAGAAAAUGGGUAAUUUAUUGUUGUAAAAGUAAGCUGAAUGAAUUUCAAAAUUAUUACGUUGAUUGAAAGAAACCAGACAUAAAAUAGUACACGGUAGUAUCCCAUUUUAAAAAGUGAAAAACCAGUGAAAACGAAUCCACAGUGUUAGAAGUUAGAAUAGUUUUUAUAUUCUGUGGUUGAUAAUCACGAGGGGUAGAAACAUGAGAGAGACUUUUGGGAUGUUGUAAUCUUUUAUUUAUUGUUCUAUGUGGUGGUCACAUAAAUGAGUUUAUUUUGUGAGAACGUAUGAAGACCUACCAAUUAAUGCACUUUUCUUAAUGUACAUUACACUUCAGUAAAUGUUGACUUAAACAUUUUUCUUAAAUCUCUUAAUUUUUCUUGUCAGAGUAAAUACAUUAAGUCAAAAGGCAGAAGCAGUAAGCUUAGAAUGCACAGUGCCAGGUAAAAUGAGGGUCCUACCUAAGUGCGAAGGGAACUCUGGCAAAGUCAAACCUGCUUGCCUGUCCCACCUAAAUGAGCCAGUCCGUCAGCUUCAGCCCAUGAUAGCUUCUUAAGAGCGUCCACCAGCCUUGACACAGUUUUUAGUCUUUCAAAGAAAGUCAGCAAUUCGCAGUUUUAUGUAAGAUCUGCUGAGUUAAUUUUUUUAAAACCACUUUACUGAGCUGUUAUUGACAUGUAAAAAGCUGUACAUAUUUAAUAUAUGUAACUGGAGGAGUCUGGGGUAAGUACACACCGUGAAACCAUCACCACCAUCAAGACUGUAAACAUGUCCCUCACCUCCCAGUUUCCUCUUACUUCUUCUUCAUUAUUAUUAUUAUUAUUAUUAUUGUUAAUACUAUUUAUGGUAAGAACACAACACAAAAAUCUAUCCUCUUAGCAAAAUUUAAGUAUACAAUACAAUAUUGUUACAUAUAGGCAUUAUGAUGUAUAGUAGAUCUCCAGAAUUUAUUUACCUUGUAUAACCAAAAUGUUGUACCCUUUGACCAUCAUCACCCUACUUCUCUCUACCGCCAGCCCCUGAAAACCACCAUUCUUCUCUCUGCUUCUGCAAGUUUGACUACUUUACAUUCCACAUAUAAGUGGGAUCAUACAGUAUUUGUCUUUCUGUGUCUGGCUUAUUGCUGUUAGAAUAAAGUCCUCCAGACCCAUCUAUGUGAUUGCAAAUUGAAGGAUUUCUUUCUUCUUUCAGGCUGAAUAAUACAUCCAUUGUAUGUAAGUACCACAUUUUCUGAAUCCAUUCAUCCAUCCAUAAGCAUUUAGGUCGUUUCCAUGUGUUGACUUUAGUGAAUAAUGCUACAAUGAAUAUGAGAGUAUAGGUAUCUCUUUGAGAUCCUGAUUUCAAUUCUUUGGAUGGAUAA
rnacentral:lncRNA from 1 species